AUGAACUAUAAUAUGCAAGGGAUGACGAAAACGAUUACCGAGCUCUUCGCAAUGCUAAAGGCUGUGGAGGUAGAAAUCAAGAAGCAGCAUCAAGUGUUGAUGGUCAACAAGACCACUAGUUUCAAGAAAAAAGGCAAAGAAAAGAAGAGGAACUUCAAGAAUAAUAGCAAGCAAGUUGCCACUCCCGAGAAAAAGCCCAAGUCUGGACCUAAGCCUGAAACUGUGUGUUUCUAUUGCAAAGGGACUGGUCACUGGAAGCGGAACUGCCCCAAGUAUUUGACGGAUAAGAAGGAUGACAAAGUGAAAGGUAUAUUUGAUAUACAUAUUAUUGAUGUGUACCUUAUUAAUACUCGUAAUAACGUCUGGGUAUUUGAUACUAGUUCUGUUGCUCAUAUUUGCAACUCGAAACAUGGGCUACGGAUUAAACGAAGAUUGGCUAAAGACGAGGUGACGAUGCGCGUCGAAAAUGGUUCCUGUGCUUGCGUGCGAUUGUAA
rnacentral:rRNA from 1 species